rnacentral:misc_RNA from 1 species
ACGAGUUUUGAAGUGGGAUUGAUGCUGGCCUUCCGAGGCAUGUGCUCGUCCUCGCUCAUCCACUCACAACACCUGUGCACUGUUGAGGUGUGGCCCCCCCCUUCAAUGGAGCCGUUCCCCCUUCGAGAGAAGGGGUCGAGCCGGGGUCAGGCCUUCUUCGUCACAAACAACUUGUAAUGUAUAUUCGGAAUGUAAUGCUUCAUGCUAAUGAAACAAUA